GGUGAGGUGUCCGAGUGGCUGAAGGAGCACGCCUGGAAAGUGUGAAGACGACAACGUAUCGGGGGUUCGAAUCCCCCCCUCACCGCCA
rnacentral:tRNA from 1 species